UCCUACGGGAGGCAGCAGUGGGGAAUUUUCCGCAAUGGGCGAAAGCCUGACGGAGCAACGCCGCGUGAGGGACGAAGGCCUCUGGGCUGUAAACCUCUUUUCUCAAGGAAGAAGAUAUGACGGUACUUGAGGAAUAAGCCACGGCUAAUUCCGUGCCAGCAGCCGCGGUAAUACGGGAGUGGCAAGCGUUAUCCGGAAUUAUUGGGCGUAAAGCGUCCGCAGGCGGCCUUUCAAGUCUGCUGUUAAAGCGUGGAGCUUAACUCCAUUAUGGCAGUGGAAACUGAUUGGCUUGAGUAUGGUAGGGGCAGAGGGAAUUCCCGGUGUAGCGGUGAAAUGCGUAGAUAUCGGGAAGAACACCAGUGGCGAAGGCGCUCUGCUGGGCCAUUACUGACGCUCAUGGACGAAAGCCAGGGGAGCGAAAGGGAUUAGAUACCCCUGUAGUCCUGGCCGUAGACGAUGAACACUAGGUGUCGGGGGAAUCGACCCCUUCGGUGUCGUAGCUAACGCGUUAAGUGUUCCGCCUGGGGAGUACGCACGCAAGUGUGAAACUCAAAUGAAUUGACGG
rnacentral:rRNA from 1 species